GGAGGGGUCGGAUAGUGGUUCAUUCCAGCGCACUUGAAAUGCGCCAGGUCGCAAGGCCUCGUGGGUUCGAAUCCCACCCCCUCCGCCA
rnacentral:tRNA from 1 species